GCGAACAGCCCCGUAGCGCGGAGAUUGGGGGUUGCGAGGAGGGCCUGCCACCAUGGGAGCUUUGCACUCGAGAAGGAAAAAAUACGAGAUAUUUGAUAUAGAGCGCAAUCAACGGCUUACAGAGAAAAGCUCUCGCCGGCGGAGCAGGGCGGCGCCGCGCCCGGCCGCCGGCGUGUACAGGGCCGACGUGGCCAUGGCCGACGUAGGCCUGGCCAGCCCUGCGGGGCAGGACCCCUCCGCCAAACCCGUCCCCCUCAAGUACCCCUUCGAACAGUAUGUCAACGCUCUCCUGGCGGACCUGCAGAACACCAUCACCCCCGCCACCUCGGCGCCCACCACACCACACCCCGCCCACAACGGUGUCGGAACGCCCUCGCCCACGCCCUCCCAACAGCACCCUCAGCCACAGCCAGCACCACCCGUCGCCGCACAAGGUUUAUCACCAAGAGCGCGUCGAGGAGGUUCGGACCGAACAGCGGUCAUCAGGAGGGGGCAAGAUGGCUUCUUUAAAUAAUAACCUCUCCGAACUGGAUACUCUGCUACAGGACUUAAAUAAUGCGAGAUAUACAGGAGUCUUCAAAGAGCCCGCCGCCGCCACCAACGGCACCGUCAACGGAUCGAGGCCGACGGUGGACUCGCUUCUGGACGCCCUCGACGAUGUGGAUACCGGGUAAGGAACAAGAGUGGG
rnacentral:misc_RNA from 1 species